AAUCAACGCUGGCGGCGUGCCUCAGACAUGCAAGUCGAACGAUUAAAGCUCUCUUCGGAGAGUACAUAGAGUGGCGCACGGGUGAGUAACACGUAAGUAAUCUACCCUCGAGUGGGGAAUAACAGUCGGAAACGACUGCUAAUACCGCAUAAUGCAGCGGCACCGCAAGGUGACAGUUGUUAAAGGAGCAAUCCGCUUGAGGAGGAGCUUGCGGCAGAUUAGCUAGUUGGUAAGGUAAUGGCUUACCAAGGCUACGAUCUGUAUCCGGUCUAAGAGGACGGUCGGACACACUGACACUGAAUAACGGGUCAGACUCCUACGGGAGGCAGCAGUCGGGAAUUUUGGGCAAUGGGCGAAAGCCUGACCCAGCAACGCCGCGUGAAGGAUGAAGUAUUUCGGUAUGUAAACUUCGAAAGAAGGGGAAGAAUAAAUGACGGUACCAUUUAUAAGCUCCGGCUAAUUUCGUGCCAGCCGCCGCAGUAAGAC
rnacentral:rRNA from 1 species